CCGAUUCCGAGGGAGCAGCGAGACUUGAUUUUUGCGGGGGGGCGGGGAGGGGGAGGGGUGUCAAGGCGAGGAGGGGUGGCGAUGUUUGGGAUGCACAGCCCUGGGACGGGAACGCCGCGCAGACAGACAGGCAGACACACACACACAGGCGUGCACAUACACCAAACCCGAAAGCAAGGACAACCCCAAAAAGGACUCACUUUGCCUCGAUGACUCAACGCAACUAAUAACCGUUUCUCCGCUUUCUGUGGCGAGUCCCUCCUGCCGCUGCUGUCGCUGGCAGCGGAGGGAGCGAUUGAAAGUGACACACGGGGGGCCGCCGCCGCCGCCACUUCCCCGCGCCGCCAGGCACUCGCCGCCGCCGCGGAGCCCGGGAGAGCGGCGCUCCCUCCUCUUCUCCUCCCCUUGUUUCCCCCGGUACUGAUUUUCUCCGCUGAAGGUGUGAGAAGUCGGCUCCCUCUCCCUUCUCUUCCGCGCCGCAGCCGACGGCCCCUCGCCUCCCCGCCCCCUCGUCCCGACCUCCCCGCUCGGCUCCGCUCGCCACCCGGGACCCUCCGGGACGGGGCUCUGCCCCUGCCGCCCCGCGGGCAGCCGCCCCGGGCCCGCCGCCCCAGCACCCCCGGAGGAGGACGAGGAGGGGGCUGGGGGUGGGGGGAAGGAGUAGAAGCGAAGAACGCGGCGUGAGAGAAGGAACCAGGAAAACUUUCCACCCUGGAUUCUCUACUUCUGAUCCAUGGACAGAGCCCAACUCAGCCAACUUACAGACAGGCUAUAAGCAGUAAGUACAGCGGCCAGCUCGCGGGAGCCGCUCGCUAGAGGUUCCUCGCCAGCAGCCGGCUACUCCGUGGCUGCACAGCUGGCCGGCGCGGGGGGGCCGUGCCGGCGGGGCCGUCUGGACUGGCAGCCUCUUCCCCGCGGCCCCCGGGGGCGGGCCGGGACUGCGGCCGGACCCGCGGCGCAGCACCUCGCUGCGGCAGGCGGGGGGGCCCCCCCCCCCCCCCCCCCCCCCCCCCCCCCCCCCCCCCCCCCCCCCCCCCCCCCCCCCCCCCCCCC
rnacentral:lncRNA from 12 species